rnacentral:rRNA from 1 species
UACGAAGGGUGCAAGCGUUACUCGGAAUUACUGGGCGUAAAGGCGUGCGCAGGCGGCUUUGCAAGACAGAUGUGAAAUCCCCGGGCUUAACCUGGGAACUGCAUUUGUGACUGCACGGCUAGAGUGUGUCAGAGGGGGGUAGAAUUCACGUGUAGCAGUGAAAUGCGUAGAUAUGUGGAGGAAUACCGAUGGCGAAGGCAGCCCCCUGGGAUAACACUGACGCUCAUGCACGAAAGCGUGGGGAGCAAAC